GGAUUCCCCUAGUAACUGCGAGUGAAGCGGGAAAAGCUCAAAUUUAAAAUCUGGCGGUCUUUGGCCGUUCCGAGUUGUAAUUUAGAGAAGCGUCUUCCGCGCYGGACCGUGCACAAGUCUCCUGGAACGGAGCGUCAUAGAGGGUGAGAAUCCCGUCUUUGGCACGGACCCCCUGGUGCUUCUGUGAUGCGCUCUCAGAGAGUCGAGUUGUUUGGGAAUGCAGCUCAAAAUGGGUGGUGAACUCCAUCUAAAGCUAAAUAUUGGCGAGAGACCGAUAGCGAACAAGUACCGUGAGGGAAAGAUGAAAAGCACUUUGGAAAGAGAGUGAAACAGUACGUGAAAUUGUUGAAAGGGAAACGCUUGAAGUCAGUCGCGUCGAUCGAGACUCAGCCUCGCCUCGGCUUGGUGUACUUCUCGACCGACGGGCCAGCAUCAAUUUUGCCUCUCGGAUAAUGGCAAGGGAAAGGUGGCACCCUUACGGGUGUGUUAUAGUCUCCUGUCGCAUGCGAGGGGUGGGAUUGAGGAACUCAGCACGCGCCUUUUACAGGUGCCGGGGCUUCGGCCCACGUUACGUGCUUAGGAUGUUGGCGUAAUGGCUUUAAACGACCCGUCUUGAAACACGGACCAAGGAGUCUAACAUGCCCGCGAGUGUUCGGGUGGAAAACCCGUGCGCGAAAUGAAAGUGAAAGUCGGGACCUCCGUCGUGGAGGGCACCGACGCCCGGACCAGACCUUCUGUGACGGCUCUGCGGUAGAGCGUGCAUGUUGGGACCCGAAAGAUGGUGAACUAUGCCUGAAUAGGGUGAAGCCAGAGGAAACUCUGGUGGAGGCUCGUAGCGAUUCUGACGUGCAAAUCGAUCGUCAAAUUUGGGUAUAGGGGCGAAAGACUAAU
rnacentral:rRNA from 1 species